AGCAUAUCAAUAAGCGGAGGAAAAGAAACCAACAGGGAUUGCCUCAGUAACGGCGAGUGAAGCGGCAACAGCUCAAAUUUGAAAUCUGGCUGCCUGUGCAGUCCGAGUUGUAAUUUGAAGAGGAUGCUUUUGGCAAGGUGCCUUCCGAGUUCCCUGGAAUGGGACGCCAUAGAGGGUGAGAGCCCCGUAUGGUCGGUCGCCGAGCCUCUGUAAAGCUCCUUCGACGAGUCGAGUAGUUUGGGAAUGCUGCUCAAAAUGGGAGGUAAACCCCUUCUAAAGCUAAAUAUUGGCCAGAGACCGAUAGCGCACAAGUAGAGUGAUCGAAAGAUGAAAAGCACUUUGAAAAGAGAGUUAAACAGCACGUGAAAUUGUUGAAAGGGAAGCGCUUGCGACCAGACUUGUGCUCGUCGAAUCAGCCGUCGCUCGUCGGCGGCGCAUUUCGGCGGGCUCAGGCCAGCAUCAGUUCGCUGCAGGGGGAGAAAGGCGGUAGGAAUGUGGCUCUUCGGAGUGUUAUAGCCUACCGUAUAAUACCCCUCGGUGGACUGAGGACCGCGCAUCUGCAAGGAUGCUGGCGUAAUGGUUGUCAGCGACCCGUCUUGAAACACGGACCAAGGAGUCGUCCUAAUAUGCGAGUGUUCGGGUGUAAAACCCCUACGCGUAAUGAAAGUGAACGGAGGUGAGAGCUUCGGCGCAUCAUCGACCGAUCCUGAUGUUCUCGGAUGGAUUUGAGUAUGAGCAUAUUGGGCCGGACCCGAAAGAAGGUGAACUAUGCCUGUAUAGGGUAAAGCCAGAGGAAACUCUGGUGGAGGCUCGCAGCGGUUCUGACGUGCAAAUCGAUCGUCAAAUAUGGGCAUGGGGGCRAAAGACUAAUCGAACCUUCUAGUAGCUGGUUUCCCC
rnacentral:rRNA from 1 species